rnacentral:piRNA from 1 species
UGAUAGCAAACAACCGACAACCACCA